GAAGCUUGCUUCAAUUGAUGGCGACCGGCGCACGAGUGAGUAACACGUAUCCCACCUUCCGCUGACUCGGGGAUAGCCUUUCGAAAGAAAGAUUAAUACCCGAUGGCAAAGGACUUCCGCAUGGAUAUCCUUUUAAAGGAUUCCGGUCAGCGAUGGGGAUGCGUUCCAUUAGAUAGUUGGCGGGGUAACGGCCCACCAAGUCGACGAUGGAUAGGGGUUCUGAGAGGAAGGUCCCCCACAUUGGAACUGAGACACGGUCCAAACUCCUACGGGAGGCAGCAGUGAGGAAUAUUGGUCAAUGGGCGAGAGCCUGAACCAGCCAAGUAGCGUGAAGGAAGACUGCCCUAUGGGUUGUAAACUUCUUUUAUACGGGAAUAAAGUCAUCCACGUGUGGAUGUUUGUAUGUACCGUAUGAAUAAGGAUCGGCUAACUCCGUGCCAGCAGCCGCGGUAAUACGGAGGAUCCGAGCGUUAUCCGGAUUUAUUGGGUUUAAAGGGAGCGUAGGCGGGCUUUUAAGUCAGUUGUGAAAGUUUGCGGCUCAACCGUAAAAUUGCAGUUGAUACUGGAAGCCUUGAGUACAGUAUAGGCAGGCGGAAUUCGUGGUGUAGCGGUGAAAUGCUUAGAUAUCACGAAGAACUCCGAUUGCGAAGGCAGCUUGCUGGACUGUAACUGACGCUGAUGCUCGAAAGUGUGGGUAUCAAACAGGAUUAGAUACCCUGGUAGUCCACACAGUAAACGAUGGACACUCGCUGUUGGCGAUAUACGGUCAGCGGCUUAGCGAAAGCGUUAAGUGUCCCACCUGGGGAGUACGCCGGCAACGGUGAAACUCAAAGGAAUUGACGGGGGCCCGCACAAGCGGAGGAACAUGUGGUUUAAUUCG
rnacentral:rRNA from 1 species